rnacentral:rRNA from 1 species
UACCGAGGUCCCGAGCGUUGUUCGGAUUUAUUGGGCGUAAAGGGCGCGUAGGCGGCUUUGCAAGUGACGGGUGAAAUCCCUCGGCUUAACCGAGGAACUGCCUGUCAAACUGCAUGGCUUGAGACCGGGAGAGGUGAGUGGAAUUCCCAGUGUAGCGGUGAAAUGCGUAGAUAUUGGGAGGAACACCAGUGGCGAAGGCGGCUCACUGGACCGGUACUGACGCUGAUGCGCGAAAGCGUGGGGAGCAAACAGG